GGGCUCACUUCUGCAGCACAGUUACUGACCCUGGAGUGAUGCGGAAGAUGGGCAUGGCCCCUGGGCAAGGAUGACUAAUUCAUGAAGUGUUCCAAAUUUGU
ensembl:snRNA U6 U6 spliceosomal RNA